CCCUUAGAUGUUCUGGGCCGCACGCGCGCUACACUGAUGCAUUCAACGAGUUUCUUCCUGGUCCGAGAGGAAUGGGUAACCUUUUGAAAGUGCAUCGUGAUAGGGAUAGACUAUUGCAAUUAUUGGUCUUCAACGAGGAAUUCCUAGUAGACGUAGUUCAUCAGACUGCAUCGAUUACGUCCCUGCCCUUUGUGCACACCGCCCGUCGCUCCUACCGAUUGAACGUUCCGAUGAAUACCAUGGAUUGAGAGUCUGAAUGGGUUCGCCUAUUUCUGCUUCUCGAGAAGUGGAGUAAAUCUUAGCGUUUAGAGGAAGGAGAAGUCGUAACA
rnacentral:rRNA from 1 species